UACGUAGGGUGCAAGCGUUAAUCGGAAUUACUGGGCGUAAAGCGUGCGCAGGCGGUUGUGCAAGACAGACGUGAAAUCCCCGGGCUUAACCUGGGAAUUGCAUUUGUGACUGUACGGCUAGAGUGUGUCAGAGGGGGGUAGAAUUCCACGUGUAGCAGUGAAAUGCGUAGAGAUGUGGAGGAAUACCGAUGGCGAAGGCAGCCCCCUGGGAUAACACUGACGCUCAUGCACGAAAGCGUGGGGAGCAAACAGG
rnacentral:rRNA from 1 species